rnacentral:rRNA from 1 species
UACAGAGGGUGCGAGCGUUAAUCGGAAUUACUGGGCGUAAAGCGCGCGUAGGCGGCUUUUCAAGUCGAUUGUGAAAUCCCCGGGCUUAACCUGGGAACUGCAGUCGAGACUGUCUAGCUAGAGUAUGGGAGAGGGAAGUGGAAUUUCAGGUGUAGCGGUGAAAUGCGUAGAUAUGACAUAGAACACCAAUUGCGAAGGCAGCUUACUACACAGUUAUUGACGCUGAGGCACGAAAGCGUGGGGAUCAAACAGG